rnacentral:rRNA from 1 species
UAGGGAAUCUUCCACAAAUGGACGCAAGCCUGAUGGAGCAACGCCGCGUGAGUGAAGAAGGGUUUCGGCUCGUAAAGCUCUGUUGUAAGAGAAGAACGUGUGUGAGAGUGGAAAGUUCACACAGUGACGGUAACUUACCAGAAAGGGACGGCUAACUACGUGCCAG